AAAUUUGAAAUCUGGCGCAAGCCCGAGUUGUAAUUUGUAGAGGAUGCUUCUGGCCAGCGGCCGUUCUAAGUGCCUUGGAACAGGACGUCAUAGAGGGUGAGAAUCCCGUAUGUGACCGGCGCGCAGCCUUUACGUAGCUCCUUCGACGAGUCGAGUUGUUUGGGAAUGCAGCUCUAAAUGGGAGGUAAAUUUCUUCUAAAGCUAAAUACCGGCCAGAGACCGAUAGCGCACAAGUAGAGUGAUCGAAAGAUGAAAAGCACUUUGGAAAGAGAGUUAAAAAGCACGUGAAAUUGUUGAAAGGGAAGCGCUUGCAACCAGACUUCGUAGCGAUGUUCCGCCGGUCUUCUGACCGGUGUACUCAUCGCCGCGAGGCCAACAUCGCCUGGGCCCGCUGGAUAAGACCUACGGGAAUGUAGCUUCCCUCGGGAAGUGUUAUAGCCUGUGGUGAUGCAGCGUGACUCGGGCGAGGUCCGCGCUUCGGCAAGGAUGUUGGCGUAAUGGUUGUCAGCGGCCCGUCUUGAAACACGGACCAAGGAGUCUAACAUCUAUGCGAGUGUUCGGGUGUCAAACCCCUACGCGUAAUGAAAGUGAACGGAGGUGGGAAGCGUCCGCUGCACCAUCGACCGAUCCUGAUGUCCUCGGAUGGAUUUGAGUAAGAGCAUAGCUGUUGGGACCCGAAAGAUGGUGAACUAUGCCUGAAUAGGGUGAAGCCAGAGGAAACUCUGGU
rnacentral:rRNA from 1 species